rnacentral:rRNA from 1 species
AUUGAACGCUGGCGGCAUGCUUUACACAUGCAAGUCGAACGGCAGCGCGGGCUUCGGCCUGGCGGCGAGUGGCGAACGGGUGAGUAAUGCAUCGGAACGUGCCCAGUAGUGGGGGAUAGCCCGGCGAAAGCCGGAUUAAUACCGCAUACGACCUGAGGGUGAAAGCGGGGGACCGAAAGGCCUCGCGCUAUUGGAGCGGCCGAUGUCGGAUUAGCUAGUUGGUGGGGUCAAGGCUUACCAAGGCGACGAUCCGUAGCUGGUCUGAGAGGACGACCAGCCACACUGGGACUGAGACACGGCCCAGACUCCUACGGGAGGCAGCAGUGGGGAAUUUUGGACAAUGGGGGCAACCCUGAUCCAGCCAUGCCGCGUGCGGGAAGAAGGCCUUCGGGUUGUAAACCGCUUUUGUUCGGGAAGAAAUCCUCUGGGCUAAUACCCCGGGGGGAUGACGGUACCGGAAGAAUAAGCACCGGCUAACUACGUG